rnacentral:misc_RNA from 1 species
CUCUGUGAAGUGCGACACACUCGCCCUCACGACCGUCCAGGCACGCACCUGAAUAAUCUGCAGGCGCAACGCAAAGAAGCGGCAACGCCCGUCCGACAGAGCGCGAGCCACCGCCACCGCCACCACCACACACACACACACACACACACACUUCGGCAAGAGGGCGAAAAUGCCCGGACUUGAGAAAAAAGAUAUAAUCUCCACCCCGGUCCCGUUCCCGACGAUCCCCAUCCAGGCAGUGCCCCGCAACAAGCGUUCGUGGGUGCAGAACAACUGGUGGGUGCUGCUCACGAUCGAGUGCCUGGCCCUCUUCGUCGCCUUCGCGGCCCUGCUAGCCUACUACCUGCUCUACGUUCGUACCCCAGGGAGGCGUCUGCUCGAGGACAAGGUGGACAAAGAUGGCCUUAGCCAUUACGGCAGUGAGCUCAGCAGCCGCUCUAGCAGCGUCGAGUUGGAGGAGAGCAGAGCCUCCUGCAAGUGCAGCACCACCACGAAGCGCAGCUUCGCAGGGAAUGCGGCCGGUGGCACGGUUGACAGUAGAAAGUCGCACAGGUCAACGCCUGAGGUGGUGUCCGCGCAGAGCCUGCAUAGCAAGACCACGAGCAGCCACAAGCGAGACUAAUUGGGCGUACGGGCAGCAACGUUGCCGAUGAGAGGAGGAACGAGGAUGCUCUGACCGGGGAAAGACGGAGUGGAGCUAGUCAACUCGGCUGCACACCGAGACUAUGUGUGCUCCGCCAUCCCGGUGAGAGCGCUGUGCGCCGAGACAUACACGCGCACGGAGAGACGAAGAGAAUGUCGGUGAACCUUGAUACUGCGACGCUGGGCACAUGCGCAUCCCAAAACAAGGGGAGGACAAGAGAUAGCCUGAAGAGCUGUCAUGCGUGCGUGUGCGUGUGUGUGUGUGUGUGUGGAUGGGCGUUUUUACGGUCAUGUCUGCAUCUCUUUCCCGUCUUUGCAGUGCCCUUAUUUUCCUUCGUUUUGUUUUACUGCUUUCCGCCCUCCCCGUCCUCCUCUCUGUCGCGUUGCCAUCGUCAUCAUCGAGGUGUGCGCAGAGAUGUGUAAAGCUAUCCUUCUCUCUUCGUGUUUGUGUACACUUGUCUAUGUGCUGGUAUACGUGUAUGUAUGUGUGUGCGCGCAUCUCUGCGUGGGUAUCCUACAGCCGCUAGUUGCAAUGACAUCUUCUCAUUAUGUUAUUUUUUGUUUUUGUUGUUCUAUCCCCCCCCCCUUCUCUCGAAAGGAGGCGGGGGUGGCGUACACUUCUCUACUUCGGCCAUCUCCCUCUGGUCGAUCCUACUUGCUUUUCUCUCACGCAUCCUUUUCGGUCUUCAUC